UGAGACUAUGUCUUGGUGGUUAGCCCCCAGACUGAAAACAGCGGAAAGAGAAGUGCUCCAGUACCCACGUGAAUGUAAGUUCCACGAGAGCAGAGGCUGUAUCUUGUUUAUCCGUGCAUCGCCAGCUCCGAGCACAAGGCGAAUCUCGACCGAGCCCUGCAGAGGACCAGGCGCUGUGCUUCAGUGCUGGGGAUGUGAGUGAGGAAGACAGACUUCUAUUCUAGAAGGAGGCGGGCGAUCCAGGAGGCUAUGCGUUUUGAAGGGGGAGCCAGAGGAGAACCCUAACCUCGACCUGUACCGCCAAGGCUGACUUCUGGGAAGGGCUGACACGUCAGGUAAGAGCUGGAAGAAUAAGCAUCAGCCUGGUGUGUGCUGGGAAGCGCCUUCCAGAGAGAACCGCGCCGGCAGGGCUGUGUAGAUAGAAAGGGAGGAGCCGGAGCCGGAAGAGGGCCAGUGUCACGUAGUGAGGAAACCAGUGCGAGACACGGAGGGAGGCGAGGAGGGACCAGGUCACCCAGGGCCCU